rnacentral:rRNA from 1 species
AUUGAACGCUGGCGGCGUGCUUAACACAUGCAAGUCGAUCGGUAACAGGUGUAGCAAUACAUGCUGACGAGAGGCGGACGGGUGAGUAAUGCUUGGGAAUCUGCCUAUUAGUGGGGGACAACCCGGGAACUCGGGCUAUACCGCAUACGCUCUACGGAGGAAAGCCGGGGACCGCAAGGCCUGGCGCUAAUAGAUGAGCCCAAGUCGGAUUAGCUAGUUGGUAGGGAACGGCCUACCAAGGCGACAAUCCGUAGCUGGUCUGAGAGGACGACCAGCCACACCGGAACUGAGACACGGUCCGGACUCCUACGGGAGGCAGCAGUGGGGAAUAAUUGGACAAUGGGGGCAACCCUGAUCCAGCGACGCC